rnacentral:rRNA from 1 species
GCCUACGACCAUAUCACCCUGAAUGCGCCCGAUCUCGUCUGAUCCUAGCAUGGCCUAAGCCCAUGGUCGAGCCUGGUUAGUACUUGGAUGGGAGACUGCCCUGGGAAUACCAGGUGUUGUAGGCU